CAGGCAACCGGGUAACUCAAGCCAACUUCCGAGAACCUCGUUUAAUAUUCAAGUCAAAAUCCACUUCUGCGACGAAACGGAACAAACACACGCGUACGUACUUAAACCAUGAUUCAUAAACCAUACACGAAUGCUGUAAUAGCAGCUACACAAAGGCAAUGUAAAAACGCCUAUAACGGUAGCAAGAAUCUUGUGCACACAUAGUGAUAUUGACCUUUGCAACAGCAGAGGAAUUUGUAUAGGGUAACAGUCAGGUAUAAAAAUAGUGGUGGUUAGAACUUUAAUCUAACUCAGAUUCACAAAAACGAUACGUCACUAUAUUUUACGAUGAGACAUUUUAUGAGCAGCAAAUAAUAAUAGAACGCAGCCAAUGCGACAGAGUUCAAAUAACAUGCUACGCAAGACCAAGGUUGAUACUCAGCUCCACUCUCUCCGGGAUCGGAAGAGCCGACUUUCGAAAGUUCUUCGUCCUC